rnacentral:rRNA from 1 species
GAUGAACGCUGGCGGCGUGCUUAACACAUGCAAGUCGAACGAUGAAGCCCAGCUUGCUGGGCGGAUUAGUGGCGAACGGGUGAGUAACACGUGAGUAACCUGCCCUUGACUCUGGGAUAAGCCUGGGAAACUGGGUCUAAUACUGGAUAUGACUUCUCAUCGCAUGGUGGGGGGUGGAAAGAUUUAUUGGUCUUGGAUGGACUCGCGGCCUAUCAGCUUGUUGGUGAGGUAAUGGCUCACCAAGGCGACGACGGGUAGCCGGCCUGAGAGGGUGACCGGCCACACUGGGACUGAGACACGGCCCAGACUCCUACGGGAGGCAGCAGUGGGGAAUAUUGCACAAUGGGCGCAAGCCUGAUGCAGCGACGCCGCGUGAGGGAUGACGGCCUUCGGGUUGUAAACCUCUUUCAGUAGGGAAGAAGCGAGAGUGACGGUACCUGCAGAAGAAGCGCCGGCUAACUACGUG